GGCAAAACAAGAAAGAGAAUGGCGGAGAAGAGUAAUCUUCCUCUCUUUGAAACAAAGGUUUUCAAGAACCGUUUAAUCUUCAGGUUAUAGACACUCUCUAUCGUCAUCAGCAUCUGCUUCAUCUUCUACUUUAGAAUCCUUCACUUGCCGGACUCCAAAACAGCUGAGAAAUUGGCCUGGCUUGGAGCCUUCUUCUCUGAGCUCUGGUUCACUUUUUACUGGUUCAUCAACAUCGUCGUAAGAUGGAACCCUUCGUAUCGCCGUACCUUUAAGGACAGGCUAUCUUUUAGGUACGGCAAUGUUUUGCCAGGAAUAGAUAUAUUUGUGUGUACGGCAGAUCCUGUAAUAGAGCCACCGACCAUGGUGAUUAACACCAUCUUAUCAAUUAUGGCAUACAAUUAUCCAUCGGAGAAGAUGAGCCUUUAUCUUUCUGAUGACGGUGGUUCAGACCUAACUUUCUACGCGUUACUUGAGGCUUCUCGAUUCUCCAAGGAAUGGCUUCCCUUCUGCCGGAAUUUUAAUAUUGAACCAAGAUCGCCGGAGGCCUAUUUUAGAAAGGCUGUUGAGCCUAUAAACGAUUCUCUCUGGUCCAACGAGUGGUCCUCCAUGAAAAACUUAUACGAGGACAUGAAGAAACGCAUCGAAUCGGUAGCAGAGCUGGGACGGAUUCCAGACGACAUUCGGGAGCAACACAAAGGAUUUCUCGAGUGGGACACUGCCUCGAGCCAGAGAGAUCAUCAAACAAUUCUUCAAAUAUUAAUCGAUGGGAGGGACGCCAAUGCCGUCGACAAUGAAGGACAGCCUCUCCCUACUCUGGUGUACUUGGCCAGAGAAAAGAGACCACAGUUCCACCACCAUUUUAAAGGAGGAGCUAUGAAUGCUAUGAUUAGAGUCUCCUCGAGGAUCAGCAACUCGCCCGUCAUCCUUAACGUGGACUGCGACAUGUACUCGAACAACUCGGACUCAGUGAGAGACGCGCUGUGUUUCUUGAUGGAUGAAGAGAAUGGCGAUGAGAUCGGUUUCGUACAGUUCCCACAGUGCUUCGAUAACAUUACGAAGAAUGACCUGUACAGCAGUUCCUUGAACGUAAUAAUGCAGGUGGAGAUCCAUGGAAUGGACAAUCAUGGUGGACCUGGGUACAUUGGCACCGGGUGCUUUCAUCGGCGAGAGACACUAUGUGGGAGAAAGUAUAAACGAGGAAGUAAAAGUGAGUCCUUGAGGUGGGAUCACCGCCUGAGGAUACAAGAUAGUGCAAGUGUCAUAGAAGAAACGUGCAAACCACUAGCCAGCUGUGGUUAUGAAGAGAACACUGAGUGGGGAAAGGAGAUGGGUCUAAAGUAUGGCUGCCCAGUGGAAGAUUUCCUUACCGGUUUCGCAAUACACUUCAGAGGUUGGAGAUCGAUCUAUUUUAACCCCGAAAGGAAAGGAUUUCUAGGAGUUGCGCCCACAGCAUUGUUGCAGUCUCUAGUUCAAAAUAAGAGAUGGUCUGAAGGUGAUUUUCAAAUCUUCCUAUCACAGUACUGUCCCCUGGUGUAUGGACAUGGAAAAAUCCCCCUGAAACUCCAACUUUCAUAUUGUGUCUGGCUGCUAUGGGCGCCAAAUUGCCUGGCUUCUCUGUACUAUGUGACUAUUCCAUCUCUCUGUCUUCUCAGAGGCAUCUCCUUGUUCCCCAAGAUAUUAAGUCAGUGGAGCUUCCCAUUCAUCUACCUCUUUAUCGCGACUAGUGCAUACAGUGCCGGAGAAUUCAUAUGGUGUGGAGGCACUCUUCGUGGCUGGUGGAAUGACCAGAGAAUGUGGGUCUAUAGGAGAACAACUUCCUUCCUCUUUGGCUUCUUGGACAACAUUUUGAGACUGCUGGGUAUUUCCAAGUCUGCCUUCGUCGUCACUGCAAAAGUGGCAGAUGAUGAUGUAUCCAAGAGGUACGAACAAGAGCUUAUGGAGUUUGGUGCACGCUCUCCUAUGUUCACAAUCCUAACAACCCUUGCUUUCCUCAAUGCGUUAAGCUUCAUUGGAGUUUUACUGAAGUUAGCAAUGCAUGGUCAGACUCUAGACCAGUUGGCUAUGCAGAUCGUAUUGUGCGGUUUGCUAAUCUGUCUCAACCAGCCUCUAUAUGAAGGGAUUUUCAUACGAAAAGACAAGGCAAAAAUGCCCUCCUCGGUGGCAUAUAAAUCUGCAGUCUUUGCUCUAGUACUCUGUUCUUUAGCCUAUGUAUAAUCUACCAUUGCAUUGUAUUAGCUAGAAGUCACCGAAACUUCAUGAAUAUUUAUAUCACCCACCAGACGUGGUACAAAGUAGGAUGCCAUCAGGACCAGUAAGAGAAAAACUUCUGCUGCUGUUGCUAUGUCCUAGCUUGCGUAGUCUUUGUCAUUUCCAUUACUGCUGAUCUCAAUGUUAAUAUUGUACAAACUACAUGUUGAGACCUCAUUCUUCUUACCUAGAGAAAUCACCAAACAUCUCUUAUUUCGCCA